UUGCAGUCAAGCAGUGCGGUCUUACGGUUCGCUUCCAUCGCGAACAGUCGCGUGUGCCGGCCCUUCGAUUGUUUUUUCGUCUCGACAACCUCGCAACGAUUAUUUCCAAUCCCUUUGCAACUAUUUCCACUCAAAUUAUUCCCACCUUUCUGCCCAUAGUUUUUCAUAUUUUUCCAGAAAUUUUCUUCAAAUCUUUUCAAACACCCUCAAGCUCAAGGAAACACAUUCAUUCGCAUAGUGGCCUAGAAUCUUUUAAUCCCUUUGAGCUUUCCGCUCAGACACGUGUUCGUGAAAACGGAGUUAUGCGAGUUUUCUGCACUUGCUGCGCCUAAUUUAUCACGAUGACAUUUCGCUAUAAAGUAACGUCAGAUUUCCGAGUGGUUUUACCGGAGAAUUUGAUGAUGUUCAAACUUGGACAACGCUGGUGAUGUGUCCGUGCUGAGGCCUUAGGUGACAGGGUUCUUUGCGAACAUUUUUACUCUCGACAGACAGACUUUCACGUGGCUAUACGAUUCUAAGCACCAGAUUUAUCCGAUUGCUACGGACAGAGCUCUUUUGCCGAGUUAAUAAGUGGACAGAAUUCUUUUAAAUACUUAGUCGGUCAUUGUUUGAUGACCUCGAUUCCGAUUAGUGUUUACAGUGAGGUUCUUUAAAAGUGACAAAUCUUUUUUAAAAAUAAACGACAGAUAUAACUCGGGCCUAUCCUUAUGAAUUAUUUCAGAUCCUCCUAAUGACCUAUUAUAGACAGCGAGGUUUUUCAAAUCGAGCAACUAGUUUUACAACAAAAUACAUCGAAUGUAAUUUGGUUAGGAUCGAUUGAUUAAGAUUUUUAACGGUCCUAAUGGAGAUUUAAUCAAAUCUUUUAAAGCAGGAGAACCUACGAUGAUCCUGAUAAUGAUUUAAUUUAUAGUUAAUGGAUAGCAAAGUUUUUGAGGUUAGUUCGUUCAAGAAGGAAAAACUGAACUGAAAUUGUUCAGACAUAACUGAAGUUGUACAUGAUUAUAGUCUGCAAUCGAACAAAAGAUAACUUGACUUCUCUAUCUGAAUAAUCUUUGACCACAGUUAUUCUAUUAAGUGUAUAAGUAUGUGAAGAGGAAACUGUGCGUUGAAUAGAGGAACCAGUGCUGCUCUUAAUCAAAGCAAUCGAUCAAGAAACAUCGAGCAACUGAGAAGAGGAUAUAGAUAAAACUACCGGAAGAGGGCGACAGAAGUGACCCAGCAACUACAAACUAACCAGUAAUACACAUCGUUCUUUUCAUCAUAGAGUGACUAAAACUAAAAUUAUAAGUGAGAUGUGUCUUCAAAUAAAUAUAAUUUAAAAGUAAAAUUUUCAAUAUUAAUUAAAAAAGU